rnacentral:antisense_RNA from 1 species
AAACACCUAAUAAGAGUAAAGGCAAAGAGUUCCUGAAUAUAUCACAUGUGAUAAACAUGAAGAUGUAUGAAAAAUUGUGUUCGUUGAGAGAAAAUGGAAGGCUUUUCAUUCUACUUCCACAUUUUCAUUCCAGCAGCUUUUCUGUUUUGGAAGGUGAGUACUGAAUCUUGCAAUGAAAUUUUUUUAACUUAAACAAGACAAGGAAAAUGAAGCGCAGAGACGUUAAAUAACUCUCUCAAGGUCAUGCAGCUGAGAAGAGAUGAGACUUGAACUCCAGUGCCAGCCCUGUUAAUCACUAUUCUGUACUGUCUUUCAGAUGGAAUGAUAGGGUACGCAUAAAUGUUCAUGUGGGCUCUGGAGUAUACCAGGAACUGAAGUAAGGUACAUGGACGUCUUGAAUAUUGUAACUGAGAUGGGCAAGCCUACACCUUUGCAAAUAAAGGAGGAUUGGGAAAGAUUAAGAUCCUAUUCAAACGUCAGUGUUACUAUUUAGCCUUUGAUAUCUCCAUUAAAGGCAACUUCUUUCUGGACCCAGAAAUAAAGCUUUACAUUAGUAGCCUCCAUAACACCAAUAACAUGAAUGACCAUCUACUGAGCAAUUGCAGUGCACCAGGAUUAUGGUUUAUGAGCACUUUAUGUUUAUUAUCUCACAACUCACUGAGUUAGAUACUCUCCACAACCCAGUGAGCCUCUCAAGCACUGUGAAAAAUC